UGAGUACGAGAUGCUACGGCAUCGAAGCAGUCUAUGUCAUACUUCCAAGAAAAGCUUGCAAUGUCAUAAACAAAUAAUGCCUGUACCAUAACCGACACAGGUGGGUAGGUAGAGUAUACUAAGGGGCGCGAGAUAACUCUCUCUAAGGAACUCGGCAAAAUGACUCCGUAACUUCGGGAGAAGGAGUGCCUUAUUUUUAUAAGGUUGCAAUAACAAGAUCCAAGCAACUGUUUACCAAAAACACAGGUCUCCGCUAAGUCGUAGGACGAUGUAUGGGGGCUGACGCCUGCCCAGUGCCAGAAGGUUAAAGAAGUUGGUUAGCAUUAGCGAAGCUGAUAACUGAAGCCCUGGUGAACGGCGGCCGUAACAAUAACGGUCCUAAGGUAGCGAAAUUCCUUGUCGGGUAAGUUCCGACCCGCACGAAAGGCGUAAUGAUUUGGAUACUGUCUCGGAGAGGGGCUCGGUGAAAUAGACUUGUCUGUGAAGAUGCGGACUACCUGCACCUGGACAGAAAGACCCUAUGAAGCUUUACUGUAACUUGAGAUUGAAAUUGGACUUUAUCUGCGCAGUAUAGGUGGGAGACGUUGAAAAUAUUCUUGCGGGAAUAUUGGAGUCAUCAGUGAGAUACCACUCUUAUAAUGUUAGAUUUCUAACUUUGUAUCAUUAUCUGGUCAAAGAACAGUUUCAGGCGGGCAGUUUGACUGGGGCGGUCGCCUCCCAAACGGUAACGGAGGCGCACAAAGGUUUCCUCUGAACGUGUAGAAAUCGUAUCUAGAGUGUAAAGGCAUAAGGAAGCUUGACUGUGAGACCUACAAGUCGAGCAGGGACGAAAGUCGGUCUUAGUGAUCUGACGGUGCUGAGUGGAAAGGCCGUCACUCAACGGAUAAAAGUUACUCUAGGAUAACAGGCUGAUCUCCCCCAAGAGUUCACAUCGACGGGGAGGUUUGGCACCUCGAUGUCGGCUCAUCGCAUCCUGGGGCGGUAGUACGUCCCAAGGGUUGGGCUGUUCGCCCAUGAAAGCGGUACGCGAGCUGGGUUCAGAACGUCGUGAGACAGUUCGGUCCAUAUCCGGUGUAGGCGUUAGAAUAUUGAGAGGAGCCUUCUUUAGUACGAGAGGACCGAGAAGGACAUACCUCUGGUGUACCAGUUAUCGUGCCAACGGUAAACGCUGGGUAGCCAUGUAUGGAGAGGAUAACCGCUGAAAGCAUCUAAGUGGGAAGCCCACCUCAAGAUAAG
rnacentral:rRNA from 1 species